UGCAAGUCGACGAUGAACCUCACUUGUGGGGGGAUUAGUGGCGAACGGGUGAGUAACACGUGAGUAACCUGCCCUUGACUCUGGGAUAAGCCUGGGAAACCGGGUCUAAUACUGGAUACGACCUUCCCGCGCAUGCGGUGUUGGUGGAAAGCUUUUGUGGUUUUGGAUGGACUCGCGGCCUAUCAGCUUGUUGGUGGGGUAAUGGCCUACCAAGGCGACGACGGGUAGCCGGCCUGAGAGGGUGACCGGCCACACUGGGACUGAGACACGGCCCAGACUCCUACGGGAGGCAGCAGUGGGGAAUAUUGCACAAUGGGCGCAAGCCUGAUGCAGCGACGCCGCGUGAGGGAUGAAGGCCUUCGGGUUGUAAACCUCUUUCAGUAGGGAAGAAGCUGAUUCCUUUUGGGGUUGGUGACGGUACCUGCAGAAGAAGCGCCGGCUAACUACGUGCCAGCAGCCGCGGUAAUACGUAGGGCGCAAGCGUUAUCCGGAAUUAUUGGGCGUAAAGAGCUCGUAGGCGGUUUGUCGCGUCUGCCGUGAAAGUCCGGGGCUUAACUCCGGAUCUGCGGUGGGUACGGGCAGACUAGAGUGCAGUAGGGGAGACUGGAAUUCCUGGUGUAGCGGUGAAAUGCGCAGAUAUCAGGAGGAACACCGAUGGCGAAGGCAGGUCUCUGGGCUGUAACUGACGCUGAGGAGCGAAAGCAUGGGGAGCGAACAGGAUUAGAUACCCUGGUAGUCCAUGCCGUAAACGUUGGGCACUAGGUGUGGGGGACAUUCCACGUUUUCCGCGCCGUAGCUAACGCAUUAAGUGCCCCGCCUGGGGAGUACGGCCGCAAGGCUAAAACUCAAAGGAAUUGACGGGGGCCCGCACAAGCGGCGGAGCAUGCGGAUUAAUUCGAUGCAACGCGAAGACCCUUACCAAGGCUUGACAUGAACCGGAAUGAUGCAGA
rnacentral:rRNA from 1 species